rnacentral:rRNA from 2 species
UGGCUCAGGAUGAACGCCGGCGGUGUGCCUAAUACAUGCAAGUCGAACGCGUUGGCCCAAUUGAUUGAUGGUGCUUGCACCUGAUUGAUUUUGGUCGCCAACGAGUGGCGGACGGGUGAGUAACACGUAGGUAACCUGCCCAGAAGCGGGGGACAACAUUUGGAAACAGAUGCUAAUACCGCAUAACAGCGUUGUUCGCAUGAACAACGCUUAAAAGAUGGCUUCUCGCUAUCACUUCUGGAUGGACCUGCGGUGCAUUAGCUUGUUGGUGGGGUAACGGCCUACCAAGGCGAUGAUGCAUAGCCGAGUUGAGAGACUGAUCGGCCACAAUGGGACUGAGACACGGCCCAUACUCCUACGGGAGGCAGCAGUAGGGAAUCUUCCACAAUGGGCGCAAGCCUGAUGGAGCAACACCGCGUGAGUGAAGAAGGGUUUCGGCUCGUAAAGCUCUGUUGUUAAAGAAGAACACGUAUGAGAGUAACUGUUCAUACGUUGACGGUAUUUAACCAGAAAGUCACGGCUAACUACGUGCCAGCAGCCGCGGUAAUACGUAGGUGGCAAGCGUUAUCCGGAUUUAUUGGGCGUAAAGAGAGUGCAGGCGGUUUUCUAAGUCUGAUGUGAAAGCCUUCGGCUUAACCGGAGAAGUGCAUCGGAAACUGGAUAACUUGAGUGCAGAAGAGGGUAGUGGAACUCCAUGUGUAGCGGUGGAAUGCGUAGAUAUAUGGAAGAACACCAGUGGCGAAGGCGGCUACCUGGUCUGCAACUGACGCUGAGACUCGAAAGCAUGGGUAGCGAACAGGAUUAGAUACCCUGGUAGUCCAUGCCGUAAACGAUGAGUGCUAGGUGUUGGAGGGUUUCCGCCCUUCAGUGCCGGAGCUAACGCAUUAAGCACUCCGCCUGGGGAGUACGACCGCAAGGUUGAAACUCAAAGGAAUUGACGGGGGCCCGCACAAGCGGUGGAGCAUGUGGUUUAAUUCGAAGCUACGCGAAGAACCUUACCAGGUCUUGACAUCUUGCGCCAACCCUAGAGAUAGGGCGUUUCCUUCGGGAACGCAAUGACAGGUGGUGCAUGGUCGUCGUCAGCUCGUGUCGUGAGAUGUUGGGUUAAGUCCCGCAACGAGCGCAACCCUUGUUACUAGUUGCCAGCAUUAAGUUGGGCACUCUAGUGAGACUGCCGGUGACAAACCGGAGGAAGGUGGGGACGACGUCAGAUCAUCAUGCCCCUUAUGACCUGGGCUACACACGUGCUACAAUGGACGGUACAACGAGUCGCGAACUCGCGAGGGCAAGCAAAUCUCUUAAAACCGUUCUCAGUUCGGACUGCAGGCUGCAACUCGCCUGCACGAAGUCGGAAUCGCUAGUAAUCGCGGAUCAGCAUGCCGCGGUGAAUACGUUCCCGGGCCUUGUACACACCGCCCGUCACACCAUGAGAGUUUGUAACACCCAAAGUCGGUGGGGUAACCUUUUAGGAGCCAGCCGCCUAAGGUGGGACAGAUGAUUAGGGUGAAGUCGUACAAAGGUAACCAA